UACAGAGGGGGCAAGCGUUGUUCGGAAUUACUGGGCGUAAAGGCGCGUAGGCGGCCUGCUAAGUCGAACGUGAAAUCCCUGGGCUCAACCCAGGAACUGCGUCCGAUACUGGUUGGCUUGAAUCCGGGAGAGGGACGUGGAAUUCCAGGUGUAGCGGUGAAAUGCGUAGAUAUCAGGAGGAACACCGGUGGUGUAGACGGCUUUCUGGACCGUAACUGACGCUGAGACACGAAAGCGUGGGUAGCAAACAGG
rnacentral:rRNA from 1 species